rnacentral:rRNA from 1 species
GACAGAGGGUGCGAACGUUGCUCGGAAUCACUGGGCGUAAAGCGCGUGUAGGCGGGUGAUCAAGUCAGGUGUGAAAUCCCUGGGCUCAACCCAGGAACUGCAUCUGAAACUGGUCGCCUUGAGUGUUGGAGAGGGAAGCGGAAUUCCUGGUGUAGAGGUGAAAUUCGUAGAUAUCAGGAGGAACACCGGUGGCGAAGGCGGCUUCCUGGACAAUUACUGACGCUGAGACGCGAAAGCGUGGGGAGCAAACAGG